rnacentral:rRNA from 1 species
GACGAACGCUGGCGGCGUGCUUAACACAUGCCAGUCGAACGGAAAGGCCCGGCUUUUGUGGGGUGCUCGAGUGGCGAACGGGUGGGUAACACGUGAGUAACCUGACCUUGCCUUUGGGAUAACUUCAGGAAACUGGGGCUAAUACCGGAAAGGCGCUCCAGCUGCGUGGGGGGGGGUGGGAAGUUGAGGCGGUUGGGGAUGGACUCGCGGAUUAUCAGCUUGUUGGUGGGGUAGUGGGUUACCAAGGGUUUGACGGGUAGCCGGCCUGAGAGGGUGACCGGCCACAUUGGGACUGAGAUACGGCCCAGACUCCUACGGGAGGCAGCAGUGGGGAAUAUUGCACAAUGGGCGGAAGCCUGAUGCAGCAACGCCGCGUGCGGGAUGACGGCCUUCGGGUUGUAAACCGCUUUCGCCUGUGACGAAGCGUGAGUGACGGUAAUGGGUAAAGAAGCACCGGCUAACUACGUG